rnacentral:rRNA from 1 species
AGGACGAACGCUGGCGGCGUGCUUAACACAUGCAAGUCGAGCGGAAAGGCCCUUCGGGGUACUCGAGCGGCGAACGGGUGAGUAACACGUGAGUAAUCUGCCCCUAGCUCUGGGAUAGCUCCGGGAAACCGGGAUUAAUACCAGAUACGACCACUUUAGACAUCUUCUGUGGUGGAAAGAACUUCGGCUAGGGAUGAACUCGCGGCCUAUCAGCUUGUUGGUGAGGUAACGGCUCACCAAGGCGACGACGGGUAGCCGGCCUGAGAGGGCGACCGGCCACACUGGGACUGAGACACGGCCCAGACUCCUACGGGAGGCAGCAGUGGGGAAUAUUGCGCAAUGGGCGAAAGCCUGACGCAGCGACGCCGCGUGGUGGAUGAAGGCCUUCGGGUUGUAAACCCCUUUCAGCAGGGACGAAGCGAAAGUGACGGUACCUGCAGAAGAAGCGCCGGCUAACUACGUGCCAGCAGCCGC